GACUACUGGGGUAUCUAAUCCCGUUUGAUCCCCUGGCUUUCGUACCUCAGCGUCAGUAACGGCCCAGAGAGCUGCCUUCGCCUUCGGUGUUCCUCUUGAUAUCUACGCAUUUCACCGCUCCACCAAGAGUUCCGCUCUCCUCUACCGCACUCUAGCACGUCAGUAUGCAAAGCUGUUCCACGGGUAAGCCGUGGGCUUUCACCCCGCACUUGACGCGCCGCCUACGUACGCUUUAUGCCCAGUAAUUCCGAACAACGUUAGCACCCUCUGUAUUACCGCGGCUGCUGGCACAGAGUUAGCCGGUGCUUCCUCCAGGGCUUACGUCACACGACUUGCUGUUCGCAAGCCGCUCUUCAUAACCCUCGACAGGAGUUUACAACCCUAAGGCCUUCGUCCUCCACGCGGCGUCGCUCCGUCAGGCUUUCGCCCAUUGCGGAAGAUCCUCGACUGCAGCCCCCCGUAGG
rnacentral:rRNA from 1 species